UUUAUAGAGAGUUUGAUCCUGGCUCAGGAUAAACGCUGGCGGCGCACAUAAGACAUGCAAGUCGAACGGACUUAACCAUUAGUUUACUAUUGGAGCGGUUAGUGGCGGACUGGUGAGUAACACGUAAGCAACCUGCCUAUCAGAGGGGAACAACAGUUAGAAAUGACUGCUAAUACCGCAUAUGCCUAAGUACCACAUGGUACAAUAGGGAAAGGAGCAAUCUGCUGAUAGAUGGGCUUGCGUCUGAUUAGAUAGUUGGUGGGGCAAUGGCCUACCAAGUCGACGAUCAGUAGCCGGACUGAGAGGUUGAACGGCCACAUUGGGACUGAGAUACGGCCCAGACUCCUACGGGAGGCAGCAGUCGGGAAUAUUGCGCAAUGGAGGAAACUCUGACGCAGUGACGCCGCGUGCAGGAAGAAGGUUUUCGGAUUGUAAACUGCUUUAGACAGGGAAGAAACAAGACAGUACCUGUAGAAUAAGCUCCGGCUAACUACGUGCCAGCAGCCGCGGUAAUACGUAGGGAGCAAGCGUUGUCCGGAUUUACUGGGUGUAAAGGGUGCGUAGGCGGCUUUGCAAGUCAGAUGUGAAAUCUAUGGGCUCAACCCAUGAACUGCAUUUGAAAC
rnacentral:ncRNA from 1 species